UACGUAGGGUGCAAGCGUUUGUCCGGAAUUAUUGGGCGUAAAGAGCUCGUAGGCGGUCUGUUGCGUCGGCUGUGAAACCCGGGGCUCAACCCCGGGCCUGCAGCCGAUACGGGCAGACUAGAGUUCGGCAGGGGAGACUGGAAUUCCUGGUGUAGCGGUGAAAUGCGCAGAUAUCAGGAGGAACACCGGUGGCGAAGGCGGGUCUCUGGGCCGAUACUGACGCUGAGGAGCGAAAGCGUGGGGAGCGAACAGG
rnacentral:rRNA from 1 species